ACUUAAUUGAUUAUAUUCAGAUAUAGUACAAAGUUGCUUCAAGAUAAGGAUGUGAGGUAAACUGAGGUGUUAUCUCUCCUGAGUAGUCUAGGGCAGGGAUGGGCAACUCCAGGCCUCGAGGUGCCGGUGUCCUGCAGGUUUUAGAUGUGUCCUUGAUCCACAGCUGAUUCAAAUGGCUAAAUUACCCUCACAACAUGUUUUGUAGUUCUCCAGAGGCCUGGUAAUGAACUAAUCAUUUUAUUCAAGUGUGUUUACCCAGGGUGAGAUCUAAAACAUGCAGGACAUUGGCCCUCGAGGUCUGGAAUGGGCCAAGCCUGGUCUAAGGGACCAAGAUAAAGUAUGAAUAGUGAAGGAGGAUUCAAGAUGGCAUUUUUUAAAAGGUUUAUUUCCUGCUAGUCCAUUUCAGACUGGCAGUUAUUUCAGGGAGGGCCAAGAACAACACAACAAAUAAAACAUCCCUGAUAUAAAGUAAACAGAAUUUAACUCCAAAGAAAAUAAAAUGUACAAUUUACGAUAACCUACCUAACCAACACAAUAAACAGGAGAAUACAAAACAAAAGGCAGCUCUCUCCUCGCAUCAGUCUGAACACAGUCAAGGGUCACAUUCAAUUCCAAAGGCAUGUAAGCCUACAUAACUAUGGCAGUCAAAAUGGCCGGAGGAACCAGAAACAACGCCUAGACAGAAUACAAUGGAAAACCAGAAUACUCUUGGGGAAUGUAACUGGCUAAAGGUGGGCACAUCCAACCGCAAACAAAACUUUGUGGCCAGAUACUUCUUUGAGGCUGUUCAAGAACAGGGUGGUAUGCAAUAUACUUAAAAAAGGGGGUUAAAAAAAGAUUACAUUUUGGUUAUAAAUUUAUUUUUUCAUCAUUCACUAAUUAUCUUCAGUUUGUGUCUUUAGGCUGUCCUCAAAUGAUUCGGGGGACAGAGGAAAGGAGAACCUUGUUGUUGGUCAAAUGCAGAUGGCAUUUCACAUGCGAGAUCUUGGGAAUCAGGCAUGGAGGUGCUUCAGAAUGGGGACAUCAGUGCACAACCAGAGAGCUGAAUGUUUUAACAGUAUUUUAAAGCGGACAUGGAUUAAGAAAUGGCUGACAACAUUUGAGGUCUUUUUCAAAACCACAUGCUUAGGCCAUGAUGGAGUCUGGGAUCCUUACUGCUUGCAGUACUCACACUUGCCACUGCUUCAAAGAGACUUAAAAACGGAGCAAACAGUUUGGAACACCCAUGACAUCCGCAAGCAACGCAAUGCACCAGGUCCAUUUGGGAAACCCGACCUUCUGUUUACCUCACCACCUCCUGGUAUGUCAUUUGAAAGUCUGUGGGUUUUUUUUCUUUUUUUCUUUUAACUUUCAUUAGUUUACUUUUACUUUAAUAUAGCACUCUUCACAGGAUAAAAACCACAAAGUGGCUUCACAAUAAUAUAAAACAGACAUAACAGCACAAUCGAACAUACAGAAUAAAUACAAUCAAGGAACAUAAUGAUGUAGGGCAGAGCAUUUCAUGACCUGGGAGCCACCGUUCUGCAAGAUCUAUUGCCUCUGGUCUUCUGGUGGGACUACUAACAGCCAUUGAUUAGAUGAUCACAGGCUGGGAGAGGGAGUGUGGGGUUCUAUAAGAUCAGAAAUGUAGGCAGGAGCUUCACGAUUCGGAGCUUUGAAAGUCAUUACUAAAAUUUUAAAAUGAUUUUUCUAAAAUAUACUGGAAUCCAGUGUAAUGAGCGUAAAACUGUUAUAAUGUGCUUUCUUUUAUUUGUCUUCCUAAGAAGCUUACUUCUGGUACAAUCUGAGAUUUCUGAAUUUCUACUGUCAAUACAAAUAUGGCUUCAUAUUGGCACCUUUAACUAAAAAUUAAUCAAAAUGUUUGAGUGAUAUUUACAUCUUUCAGUUUCUGCAAUAACAUCUGUAAAACUGACUGCUUAUUAUACAGGUUGUAGAACAGCUUUAUGAUUAUUCAUUUAUUUUUAACAUUCCAAAGUGAACAUCUUUUCAAUAUUGUCUUUCAUUCGCAGGAUAUGGCAAUGUGCUGCACAUAGUUGACCAGACCUUUUAGACUACGCCAAGCAAUUAAUCUGUGAGGUGGAAGAGCCUUCACUGGUAGCAAACCAGGAAUUCAGAGACAUGUGCCAGAACAUUUUAGAAAACAGCCAAUUUCCCUGCACACCUGAUGGUUGCCUUGCUGCAUACCUCAUGCUAGUCCAAGAGCUGACAACUGCCAUGAACAGAAAUGCAGUUCCUACACCUUCUACGUUUGCAGAGGCAAAUGACAUAUACAUCUUUCUGAAGAGACAGAGGAUGGAAGGUGCACCAGUAAACAUUUCCAAUGACCAAUAAAAUCAUACAACAUUGUUUGUUAACAUUUAUUUAUCCUUGUUUACAAUCAACAGGUAAUUUGAAAACUGUCUGACCAACAAAAUGUACAAUAAAAUGUUGAAAAACAAUUGACAAGGUGCCAUCUUUCAUAAUGAUUCAGUGUUUCAUUUAACACAACUUUUGUUAACCCUAAUGUAUAACAUAAUUAACAUUGAAAGACUUUUGAACUGCAGACUGUAGCAACAUUACCACUUGUAGCCAUAUCGGCUUGUAAGAUCAAGGCCUGACUUGAGAAACUUAACAACAUCAGAUGCGGAAGGCCUUGAGUCUGGGUCAUAGCUCACCAAACCACCAAGAAAACUGUGUUUGUCACUGAGAUGUGAUAGGGCAUGUGGUGGGUUUUGGUGGCCAUUAGUGCAGCCAGUUCUCUUUGUUUUUUAACAGUCCACGGAGCGGACCCGUCAGGAUCUCCAGAUAUGUGGCUCCGAGGGACCACAUGUCUGUCUGGAACGAGGCCUCUUCAAACAUCAGUAUGCAUUCAGGAGCCAUGUAAAGAUAUGUGCCACCAGCUGGACCAAUAACCUGGGCAGUGAACUUACUCCCUUGACGAAGCAUCACAGUGUCUCUUAUGUUUGCCAUGCCCCAGUCUGUCAGGACUGCCUUCUUAGAAGGGUGGUGAACCUAUAAGGUAUACACACGAGAACUUAUCAGGUUGUCUUAAAUCUCACAAAUGUUAUCAAAACUGUCAUUCCAAAGACCACAGCUCAUAAUUGAAAAAAAAAAACCCCUCAAAGCUUUUAGCACCCAGAUCACCCAACCACUGCAGAUUUAUUCUGAGAUUGUUUAUUAUACCUAACAUUGAAAUUAACAGAUUGGAUAAUGAUCAAACACGGUUUUAUAGUCCUGUUCUUUUUUUUUAUCCCCAUUCCACUUAAGAAAGUGGUACAGACUAAUAGAACAAUAGAAAAAUUCAGUUUGUAAAGCCUAAACUUAUUACAACAUGUUUGGGAAUUUUGUAGGUGUGCAACAACCAACAUAUUAAAGAAACAAUGUAAGGCUUCCUACUUAAAAAAAAGUCCUUUAUAUGAAUAUACCAGAACAGUUCCUCGUUGAAAUGUAGUGUUUAAUAGACUGAAGAGAAUAAAGUUCAAUAAAGAAAAAUUCAGUAUGGCUUAUGUAGAAAUGUUUAGCUUAUUUUAGAGCUUAGACAUGUAGGAAUGUUUAGUUUUUUAGAGUUUAGAAAUAUGUUAACUUAGAAUGUAGAAUUAUUGUAAAGACACUGACACUGCCCUCAAUGUAAUAAAGGCCUGAUUGUGUCAUGAACUUAGAAGUAGAUUUUAUGAGGCCCUCCCCCAUUUGAGCUGUGAAACUAAGACAAAGAGGAGUUGAUAAGUGGAAAUUCCUCAGGGUAUACUUAGGAGGGGGUUUCAACAUUUGUGACUUGAUAACGGUGGUCUGGAACGGAGAUGGGUUUUUAUGACAUCCGGGAAGUCACUACAUUGAGACACACACCUGCAGUGCUUUACUUUACGCACCCACACCCACAUGCACACUCACUCACGUGUAUGAGUGAGUGUGCAUGAGUGAGUGUAUGUGCGCAUACCUGUGUGUAUACACAGGUAUGCGCACAUAGUCACUCACGAACACUCACGUAGGUACGUGGGAGCGCGCACAUGUAGGCAUUCACGUGCUCGCACACACACAAACAUGUAAACAUGGUGAUUAGUUUUAUGGCACCUCGUAGAGGGGUUAGAAGGGGGGUCACUUAUACAAAACUGCAUGUAACGGACAAAGGAGUUGAGAUCUGCAGAGGAAGUCCGGGGUUCUGUACAUCUCCCUUCUAUAAGCUAUAAUCAAUAAGUGUGUAUUAAUAAAAUAUUGUUAAUUGACUACUCUGAGUCCCGGUGUUUUUUCUGGAAGCCUGACGAAUACACGAACUGUGGUGAAACUGCUUUUUGCAACACUUACCAUGACAUUUGCUGGCUUUAUAUCCUGGUGAAUGAUUCUCUGUGCAUGGAUGUACUCUACUGCCAUGGAUAAGUCCAGUGAUAUGAAACCGGCAUCAUCCCCUUCAAGCUAUCAAGACAAUAUAUAAUGGGACCUAAGACCAACAAGUCAAUGUUUGGAAGUGUCCAUCAAAAAUCCCUGAUUGCAGUCCUCUUGUGAAACUGUAAGCAGAGGUGAAUGGUGUGUGUGAGCAAGGUGGCCAACAAAUCUGACUCAGUUACACCAGUCCUGUCUGGAGGACUGGACCAAAAUCCCUGAAAAAUAUUGUAAGAAUAUUGUAGAAGAAAACCUAAAAUGUCUGAACUCAUCCAUGUAAAA
ensembl:lncRNA